rnacentral:ncRNA from 1 species
GUGAGCCUUGUGAUGGGAAACCUUCCUGCACGGUUCGGAGCGCACUGAAUUGGAAUGAGGGGUUCAUCACCAUAU